rnacentral:rRNA from 1 species
AUUGAACGCUGGCGGCAGGCCUAACACAUGCAAGUCGAACGGUAACAGGAAGAAGCUUGCUUCUUUGCUGACGAGUGGCGGACGGGUGAGUAAUGUCUGGGAAACUGCCUGAUGGAGGGGGAUAACUACUGGAAACGGUAGCUAAUACCGCAUAACGUCGCAAGACCAAAGAGGGGGACCUUCGGGCCUCUUGCCAUCGGAUGUGCCCAGAUGGGAUUAGCUAGUAGGUGGGGUAACGGCUCACCUAGGCGACGAUCCCUAGCUGGUCUGAGAGGAUGACCAGCCACACUGGAACUGAGACACGGUCCAGACUCCUACGGGAGGCAGCAGUGGGGAAUAUUGCACAAUGAGCGCAAGCCUGAUGCAGCCAUGCCGCGUGUAUGAAGAAGGCCUUCGGGUUGUAAAGUACUUUCAGCGGGGAGGAAGGGAGUAAAGUUAAUACCUUUGCUCAUUGACGUUACCCGCAGAAGAAGCACCGGCUAACUCCGUG